rnacentral:lncRNA from 1 species
UAGUACCUAAAUAUUAAUUUAUAAUACUGUUUUGUUUGUUUGCAGAAUUCUUUGUCAGACGAGAAUAAUCCUCUCACCCUCGUACACCUAUAUCUACGAUCUUGUACAUAAUAUUAUUAACUCUUUGUCAGCCGGAAAUAAUUCUCAAACCUUGCCGGCGGCUAGGAACUUGUUUAACUUAUAUUCAGCCGGAAAUAAUUCUCCAACUUUCGUACAUCUGCAGAAAGAAACUGGUUUGUAGUGUGGCAAAUUUAUGCAAACUCGUUUGUAUAAUUAAUUAAAGGAAUUAAAUAGUUUUUUAUAUGUUGCUAUUUUUAUAUGUUUAGGUAUAAUUUUGA